GAUGAACGCUGGCGGCGUGCCUAAUACAUGCAAGUCGAGCGAACAGACGAGGAGCUUGCUCCUCGGACGUUAGCGGCGGACGGGUGAGUAACACGUGGAUAACCUACCUAUAAGACUGGGAUAACUUCGGGAAACGGGAGCUAAUACCGGAGAAUAUAUUGAACCGCAUGGGGGAAUAGUGAAAGACGGUUUUGCUGGCACGUAUAGAUGGAUCCGCGCCGCAUUAGCUAGUUGGUAAGGUAACGGCUUCCCAAGGCAACGAUGCGUAGCCGACCUGAGAGGGUGAUCGGCCACACUGGAACUGAGACACGGUCAAGACUCCUACGGGAGGCAGCAGUCGGGAAUCUUCCGCAAUGGGCGAAAGCUUGACGGAGUAACGCCGCGUGAGUGAUGAAGGUCUUCGGAUCGUAAAAACCUGUUAUUAGGUAAGAACCACUGUGUAAGUAAAUAUGCACUUCUUGACGGUACCUAAUAAGAAAGCCCCGGCUAACUACGUG
rnacentral:rRNA from 1 species